AUUCAAGAACUGAACAACCACAUUUUAAAAUGUUUCAGCCUGAGGAUGGUCUGGGAUGCUGUGUCCUUCUCCAGGGUCACACAGAACAGGCAUGCCCUUUCCAAAAAACCUACGUCAUAUUCAUAGAUUUUGAAUCUGCAAGUUCCUGAAGCUUCAGCAGGAGUCAACAAGUGUCCAGAGCACUGGUAAAUGGUCUGCAGAGAGUCAACAGUUUGCAGGACUAGGCUGCAUCCCUCUGUGUAUGAGAACCCCUCCCGCUUUUCCUGCUGUCUGAGCUGUUCAUCACCUGACAUCGACUUCUCCUGUCAUUAUUCUUGCACUCUCCAUGACAUUUCAUAGCUAAGAACAAACGCCUCCGGAAAGCUUUGGGAUUUGGGAAGAGCAGGAGGGUUCAGCAUAAGGGAGGAGCAUUUACCCUUCCUGGAGUAAACUGAAGAAGCCCUUUUGAAAGGAAUGGGCUGCAGGGAAGAGUGAAAAACACAGGGACACACAUGUUUCCCCAAGGGCCUGAUCCUGCCCCUCACUGAAGGCUGUUAGCUGUGACCAUACCUCGUCCUCGUAGACC